UACGUAGGUGGCAAGCGUUGUCCGGAUUUAUUGGGCGUAAAGCGCGCGCAGGCGGUCUCUUAAGUCUGAUGUGAAAUCUCGCGGCUCAACCGUGAGCGGUCAUUGGAAACUGGGAGACUUGAGUACAGAAGAGAAGAGCGGAAUUCCACGUGUAGCGGUGAAAUGCGUAGAGAUGUGGAGGAACACCAGUGGCGAAGGCGGCUCUUUGGUCUGUAACUGACGCUGAGGCGCGAAAGCGUGGGGAGCGAACAGG
rnacentral:rRNA from 1 species